rnacentral:rRNA from 1 species
GACGAACGCUGGCGGCGUGCUUAACACAUGCAAGUCGAACGAGUGGCGAACGGGUGAGUAACACGCGGGUGAUCUGCCUUGUACUUCGGGAUAAGCCUGGGAAACUGGGCCUAUUACCCGACAGUGCAAGAUGAGGUCGGGGCCUAUCAGCUUGUUGGUGGGGUAAUGGCUACCAAGGCGCGAGGGGUAGCCGGCCUGGGAGGGUGUACGGCCACAGUGUGACAGAGGUACGGGCCAGACUCCUACGUGAGGCAGCGGUGAGGAAUAUUGCACGAUAGGCGGAAGCCUGAAGCAGCGACGCCGCGUGGGGAAUGAAGGCCUUCGGGUUGUAAACUCCUUUCGGCGAAGACGCGGUACCUGUAUAGGAAGCACCGGCUAACUACGUGCCAGCAGCCGCGGUAAUUC